GUUUUCGGUUAAUCUGUACGCUCACGUACAGGCUGCCGGGAAUACUGCAAAGCUAGGGAGUGGGAGAGGUAGACGGUACUCGGUAGGAAGGGGUAAAAUCCUUUGAUCUAUUGAUGACCACCUGUGGCGAAGGCGGUCUACCAGAACACGUCCGACGGUGAGGGAUGAAAGCUGGGGGAGCAAACCGGAUUAGAUACCCGGGUAGUCCCAGCUGUAAACCAUGCAAACUCAGUGAUGCAUUGGCUUGUGGCCAAUGCAGUGCUGCAGGGAAGCCGUUAAGUUUGCCGCCUGGGAAGUACGUACGCAAGUAUGAAACUUAAAGGAAUUGGCGGGGGAGCACCACAAGGGGUGAAGCCUGCGGUUCAAUUGGAGUCAACGCCAGAAAUCUUACCCGGAGAGACAGCAGAAUGAAGGUCAAGCUGAAGACUUUACCAGACAAGCUGAGAGGUGGUGCAUGGCCGUCGCCAGCUCGUGCCGUGAGAUGUCCUGUUAAGUCAGGUAACGAGCGAGGUCCCUGC
rnacentral:rRNA from 1 species